rnacentral:rRNA from 1 species
UACGGAGGUCGCGAACGUUACGCGGAUUUACUGGGCGUAAAGGGUGUGUAGGCGGCCUGGGAAGUGGCAUGUGAAAGGUCACGGCUCAACCGUGGAGCUGCCUUGCAUACUGCUAGGCUUGAAGGAGGGAGAGGGUGGCGGAAUUCCCGGUGUAGCGGUGAAAUGCGCAGAUACCGGGAGGAACGCCGGUGGCGAAGGCAGCCGCCUGGCUCUCUUGUGACGCUGAGGCGAGAAAGCGUGGGGAGCAAACCGG